rfam:Frankia sp. BMG5.36 contig_31, whole genome shotgun sequence.
GGUACCGAAGUGCAGGGUGGGGUUCCUUCCGCUGCGGACGGGGUAACGCGGGUUCGAAUCCCGCCGGGACUU